UACGAAGGGGGCUAACGUUGUUCGGAAUUACUGGGCGUAAAGGGCGCGCAGGCGGUUUUGUAAGUCUGUCGUGAAAUCCCCGGGCUCAACCUGGGAAUUGCGAUGGAGACUGCAAGGCUAGAAUCUGGCAGAGGGGGGUAGAAUUCCACGUGUAGCAGUGAAAUGCGUAGAGAUGUGGAGGAACACCGAUGGCGAAGGCAGCCCCCUGGGUCAAGAUUGACGCUCAUGCACGAAAGCGUGGGGAGCAAACAGG
rnacentral:rRNA from 1 species